rnacentral:rRNA from 1 species
UACGUAGGGGGCAAGCGUUGGUCCGGAAUCAUUGGGCGUAAAGAGCGCGUAGGCGGUCCGGUAAGUCCGCUCUGAAAAGUCCGGGGGCUCAACCCCGGGGAGGCGGGCGGAUACUGCCCGGGCUAGAGUCCGGAAGAGGCGAGUGGAAUUCCUGGUGUAGCGGUGAAAAUGCGCAGAUAUCAGGAGGAACACCGAUGGCGAAGGCAGCUCGCUGGGGACGGGAAACUGACGCUAAAGGGCGAAAACGUGGGGGGACAAAACAGGGAUUAGAAA